rnacentral:rRNA from 1 species
AUACGGAGGGUGCAAGCGUUACUCGGAAUCACUGGGCGUAAAGCGCGCGCAGGCGGCUAUUUAAGUUGGAUGUGAAAGCCUACGGCUCAACCGUAGAACUGCAUCCAAAACUAUUUAGCUAGAGCGUGGGAGAGGAAGAUGGAAUUAGUUGUGUAGGGGUAAAAUCCGUAGAGAUAACUAGGAAUACCAAAAGCGAAGGCAAUCUUCUGGAACACUACUGACGCUGAGGCGCGAAAGCGUGGGGAGCAAACGGGAUUAGAAACCCCAGUAGUCC